GAUUUAGUCGCUUGAGUUUAGGACAUGUCGAAUUUUCAGAGGCCAAGAAUUUCGCCAACUUGACUAGACUAUUGAUCACACCCUUCACAGUCGCACCACACUCAAAUAAUCAAUUUCCGAGCAGAAAUGCCAGCUGAGGAGGAGCUCCAGAAGUUUUGCUAUUGUUAUUGUACGCAUGGAAUUCGUUGUUCUAGUUAAAGCACAAGUAGGCAAAUCACAACUUCUUGCAUUGUUAACCUACUCGAACCAACACGCUCACUUUUUUUGUCUUCUAAGUUCUAACUAGACGGAGAAAGUUUAAGAUGGAGAUCGAUGCCGGCAUUGUCUCCAUCAGGUGUCUCACCUGGAAUCCCAGCAAAUGGAGGACUUGCAGCAUCAAGAACCAAUGGUUGUGCGAUGUGGGUUUGAGAAGGCGACAGUCGCAGCAACAAUGGGGCUGAAUGGUAACAACUUGCCGGCAGUGACCCGACUCUCGAAGCAAUGCCGGAGUUGCAUCCUGCGAACCCGUUUGGAUGGAAGGACGGGACUGAUGAUCCAACUACAUGAUGUCUUAGAACCGUUGCUGUAAAGCGCCUACCAGGGUUCUCUGGUUUGGGGGCUAGGAUUUCAUCUUGCUUGGUCAGUACAGAACCAAAAAGCUUCAGUUCUGAAGUGGGAUUAUGAUCACACAUUGGUUUCUCUGGGGAUGACGAGAACUUAGCGUGGAUUGAGCUCUCUGCCAUAUUCUCAGAAGGGGAAGUUGCUGUUAGAUGUUUGAAACCUGAUGCCCUGUAUUUAUACACACAGAGUUGCAUUUGGCGUACUUGGAAGGGAAAAAUGGUACGAAGGCAAUUGAAGAUAUGUAUGAAGAAAGGGUCUCACGUUGGUUGGCAAUGCUUUUUCUCUGGCCGGGUGCAAGUGAGUGGGGUGUAGCCCAAACCCAACAAUUUGUGAACAAAAACAAGAGUAUGACACUUCUUUCAUUGGUUCCCCCUUGUCUCUGAUCUCUUUGAAUAAAAAAGCAUAUUGAUGACUUGAUGUGAUCGAAUACAAUCAUAUGCGAUAAAGGAAGGGAAAAUAAUAUCUAAAUACAUGGGCAUGACAUUUUACCUAAGUUGCAGGUGUUCCUGGAUGCCUUCUUUGUGGGUGCCUGUAUCCACGUCACUUCCUCUCUCUUCAGUUGCCAUUUCAAUAAGGUAAGGAUUUGUUGCGCGGGAUGAUGAUAUAAUAAUCAAGUCCAUGGCCUGGUUAUAUAUAUGGCGUGGCAUCAUUAGUCUCUUUUACAAGAUUAAUCUAGACAGACUGCUUCCUUGUUUCUUUUCUUCCUUUCCCUUUAUAGACCGAAAGAAAACUUAUUAUUAAUUGUUUAAUCUUUUAGCAGGGAAGAAGUUAUCUGUAUCUUUGAUAGAAAGAAAGUAUUGGAAAAUAUACCCAGACAGCAUCCUUUUUUAUCUCCACAACUAUUAAGGGGAGGGGAGCAUCCUAUUUAAUUUAUUUUCUCACUUUGUUCUUUUGCAAAGACGGCAAUGACUGCUUUAGUUUAGAUGGUGUUAUCGGACAUUUUAUCCAAUGAGAAUUGACAACCGAUAAAAUAUUUGAUAAUGAGAGGAAACCAGGUAAAAGUAAGAAACAUGAUUCAAAGUAGAGAUAUUUCCAAAGAUGAGAGAUUCUCAUUAGAUAUGGUUAUCAUUUGGGUGGGUUAGCCUAGUUGAAGAAUCUCUUAAGGGCCAAACAAUAUAGUCAUGUUUCCAUGUUCGACACCUUUUGACACAGUGGAUAUGAAUAAUAUGGUGAUAUCCACCACCACCACCACCAAAGCAGAUAAAAAAAACACAAGUAUAUAUCAUUGAUAUUCUCUGCAAAUCACCAAGCCACAGUUUCAAUAUAUAUAUUUAUUUAUUGUGUUUAAACUUAUAAGUGUGCUAUAGUAUAGAUAAUUAGAUAGGUGCACCACUUUUCUGAAUCAGUAAACCACGAUAGCACUGUGGCGCACAAUUUUAACUUUCUUGGGCCAACUAGAAGUAAAUGGGCCUGAGAGAUGUUUGGCCCCUGCUUGAUCUUUAGGAUAUGGAAUAUAAACUCUCUUAGACUACUAUAGUUUGAUGGAUAAUUUGACUCGACUUUUAUAGUUUUAUGUUAUGUUGGAUUUGCUUUGUGAAUGCUUGAUGCGUGCC